rnacentral:misc_RNA from 1 species
GAAUGCGCUUCCUUCCUCUCCUCUCUUUUAUCCGUGGGCGAAUUCCAAACAUUUCUUUUUCUUUCCGCGUCUGUGGUGUGCAUUAUUGCUAGAACACGUUUCGUUUCUUUGCUCCCAUUAAUAGAGUGUAUUUUUGGUUGCGCGCAACAAAAAACACCGUGUUAACUGUCGCCCCUACGACACCAACGAAACAACCCCGCUACUCGUGUCUGUUCAACGCUCGAAGUCGAAGAAUGCACUAGAUGAGUGGAUGCGACAUUGAUCAACACUCGACCCCACGAUGAAGGCUGUACGAAGCACCCUGUCGACUUCCUACGCUCACAAUGAGCAAGUGCCGUUCUACCAAUCGAGCUACUGCCAGAGCUGCUCGGGCAGCGAGACAGAUGUGUCCACGUCCAACGAAAACCUGAGCACUGAAGAGAGGCUGGCGCUGCGUCGGGGCGAGCGCCAAGACCCCCAGGGAGAGGAGACGGCUCUGACGGAAGAGGAGGCUGGCUCCCGCUCCAACACCCUGGUGAUCCGAAACAACAGCUCCAUCGACGGAUUCACGUCGCCCUUCUACGGGAAGCUGCCCGAAAACGGGAAGUUGCCUGGCACGCCGGCUGCACCCGUCCGCGAGAUCACAGACAUCCCGAAGCACUACCUCGACCAGUCGGAGGUGUUGAAGCACCUGGCCAAGGAAGUGCACACGGAUCCACACUGCGUCGUCCGGAAGGGCUCCACGGGGGGACUGUCGUUUUCGACUUCACAUCCCGACCUUACUCAGGUAGCAAACGGAGGAGCCGGUUCCCCGCGAUGGAAGAACUCGUCGUCGAGCACAGACCCCGAUGGCAGCGGCGCGUCCGCACGGAGGGGCUCGUCCCCUCCCCGGGGCGUGGCCGCCGUUACAGCCGUGGUGCUGCACCAGCAGCAGCAGCACGGGCGCACCCAGACGCCGGUGGACCCCGAGACGGCGGUCCAGGCGGUGGGGCAGCUAUUGGAGGAGAACGGGGCGCUCAAGGCAGAGCUGGACCUGUACUACGGCAAGGUGUCGCGGUUGCAGCGCCUGGAGCUGGAGCUGCAGAAGCUCCAGCAGGACCACGACAGCCUGGUGGGCUCGACGGACAAGCGGGAGCGGCUGCACCAGGCCAUGCAGUCGCGGCUGGAGCGGGAGGUGCUCAGGGCGCAGGAGGCCAGCCGCCGGUUCAAAGAACAACUGGACGGAGCACUGGCGCAGCUGAAUAUGCGAUCGCUGCCCGACCACAAUGAUUCGGAGCUGAAGAAAGAGGUCAGCCGGAGGGAUGUUCUCAUUGCACAGCUUCUCACUCAGAACAAGGAGCUUUCGGCCGAAAAAGAGCGCAAGGACAUUGAGCUGCAGGCGCAGAGGGCCACCCUGCAGGAACAGCGAAACCACAUCGACAUCUUGGACACCGCCCUGAACAAUGCCCAGGCCAACGUGGUCAGACUGGAAGAGGAGUGCCGUAAGAAGCAGUUCUACGUGGACCGCGCCAGCCAGCUUCAACAGGCCUUGGCCAACGUGCAAGUUGCGAGCGAGCGCAGGCUUCUGAUGGAGAAGCGCUUCCGCAGCCAGCUGGAGAGAGACGUCGAAAACCUCACCGCUCAAAAGAAUGAGGGCAAGUUGUCGGGCAGUGGCAGGAAGGAUUCUGGGGACGUCGAGUACCUCAAAAGGUUGCUGCGAGAGUAUGAGGAGAAGAUCAUCGCCCUUGAGAACGAAGUUGCAAAGUGGGAGCAGAAGUAUCUGGAAGAAAGCACUAUGCGGCAGAUUGCUGUGGAUGCUGCCUCCGUGCCCAAAGAUGCAAAGAUUGCCGCCCUGGAGCAGACCUCUCAGGAGAGUGAGAAGCUGAUUGCUCAAGUGCGGUCGGAGAAGCUGAAGCAGAUGGAUGACCUGUACGCCGCCCAGCGGAAGUGCGCCGAGCAGGAGGGAAAGCUAAAGGAUCUGGAGUCCCGGCUGGCAGAGAAGGACGCCAUGAUCCGGGUGCUGCAGCAGCAUUCCCAAGAGAAAGACGCCGUGCUCCAGAACGCCGUUCUUGGGCGACCCCGGCACGCAAGAGCGGCCUCCUCCGUCACCCUCGGCUCUUCGGCAGGGUCGGGCGGCGGCAGUACUCCCGCGCACCGCAGAACGGGCAGCAAAGAUGAGAUCGGUUCUUCUAGUCUGUCUGGCGUUGUGACGAGCGAAACAACGGCGGGGGGUGGCAUGAGCUCCGUGGCUUCUCAGUCCCCGUGCACCGACUCCAAGAAGAGCAUCGACGAACAACUCAAGGAAUUUGGGUCCCGGCUUUCUAACAAGUUUUUCUUUUAAGGCGACGGGAGAAACUAAAAAUGUGUAACGCAGAUGUCGAAGGAAACCGAGGAAUCGAUAAUGGAGGUCUUGCGGCUAGAAAAAGAGCAGCACUCGACUUGCUUUUGGAGGGUCUGACCCCACCUCCGCACGCCCUGGUCCCGCGCUUUUUCGUUCGUGGGCAAGUUGCUCAUGUGCCAACGCCUGCUCCUCUUUCACCCUCUACAUCGACUGCAGCGACCACUGCGACCAGCAAUGACGCAGCACUGGCAAAACGUCGGGUGCUGGCUCGGUCUACAGUCAGUCAUUGUUUUUACCCACUCUACGUAGUUUCAUCUUGCUCUAAACCUUUUUUUCUUGUCCCCC